GACGAACGCUGGCGGCGUGCUUAACACAUGCAAGUCGAACGCUGAAGACCUGGCUUUUGUUGGGUUGGAUGAGUGGCGAACGGGUGAGUAACACGUGAGUAACCUGCCCUCUUCUUUGGGAUAACGCCCGGAAACGGGUGCUGAUACUGAAUAUUCACUGAUCUUCGCAUGGGGGUUGGUGGAAAGGUUUGUUCUGGUGGGGGAUGGGCUCGCGGCCUAUCAGCUUGUUGGUGGGGUGAUGGCCUACCAAGGCUUUGACGGGUAGCCGGCCUGAGAGGGGGACCGGUCACAUUGGGACUGAGAGACGGCCCAGACUCCUACGGGAGGCAGCAGUGGGGAAUAUUGCACAAUGGGCGAAAGCCUGAUGCAGCGACGCCGCGUGAGGGAUGGAGGCCUUCGGGUUGUAAACCUCUUUCGCUCAUGGUCAAGCCGCAACUGUGGGUUGUGGUGAGGGUAGUGGGUAAAGAAGCGCCGGCUAACUACGUG
rnacentral:rRNA from 1 species